AACGAACGCUGGCGGCGUGGAUUAGGCAUGCAAGUCGAACGCGAAAGGGUAGCAAUACCCGAGUAAAGUGGCGAACGGGUGAGUAACGCGUAGGAAACCUGCCUUCGAGGUGGGGAUAACACUCCUAACGGGGUGCUAAUACCGAAUGACACUGCGAAGUCGCAUGGCUUUGCAGUCAAAGGUGGCCUCUGCUCGCAAGCUACCACUCGAAGAUGGUCCUGCGUCCCAUUAGCUAGUUGGCGAGGUAACGGCUCACCAAGGCGACGAUGGGUAGCCGAUCUGAGAGGAUGACCGGCCACACUGGGACUGAGAUACGGCCCAGACUCCUACGGGAGGCAGCAGUCGAGAGGCUUCGGCAAUGGGGGAAACCCUGACCGAGCGACGCCGCGUGGAGGAUGAAGGCCUUUGGGUUGUAAACUCCUGUCAUGUGGGAAGAAACGCCACCGCGCGAACUAGUACGGUGGUCUGACGGUACCACAAGAGGAAGCUCCGGCUAACUCCGUGCC
rnacentral:rRNA from 1 species